ACUCCUACGGGAGGCAGCAGUGGGGAAUAUUGCACAAUGGGGAAACCCUGAUGCAGCCAUGCCGCGUGUGUGAAGAAGGCCUUCGGUUGUAAAGCACUUUCAGUAGGGAGGAAGGUAAGUGUAGUUAACACCUGCACUAUUUGACGUUACCUACAGAAGAAGCACCGGCUAACUCCGUGCCAGCAGCCGCGGUAAUACGGAGGGGUGCGAGCGUUAAUCGGAAUUACUGGGCGUAAAGCGCAUGCAGGCGGCCUGUUAAGUCAGAUGUGAAAGCCCGGGGGCUUAACCUCGGAAUUGCAUUUGAAACUGGCAGGCUAGAGUCUUGUAGAGGGGGUAGAAUUUCAGGUGUAGCGGUGAAAUGCGUAGAGAUCUGAAGGAAUACCAGUGGCGAAGGCGGCCCCCUGGACAAAGACUGACGCUCAGAUGCGAAAGCGUGGGGAGCAAACAGGAUUAGAUACCCUGGGGGCACAGAG
rnacentral:rRNA from 1 species